rnacentral:rRNA from 1 species
GCCAGACUCCUACGGGAGGCAGCAGUGGGGGAUAUUGCACAAUGGGGGGAACCCUGAUGCAGCGACGCCGCGUGGGUGAAGGAGUAUUUCGGUAUGUAAAGCCCUAUCGGCAGGGAAGAAGAAAGACGGUACCUGACUAAGAAGCCCCGGCUAACUACGUGCCAGCAGCCGCGGUAAUACGUAGGGGGCGAGCGUUAUCCGGAUUCACUGGGUGUAAAGGGAGCGUAGACGGCCAAGCAAGCCAGGGGUGAAAGCCCGGGGCCCAACCCCGGGACUGCCCUUGGAACUGCAUGGCUGGAGUGCGGGAGGGGCAGGCGGAAUUCCUGGUGUAGCGGUGAAAUGCGUAGAUAUCAGGAGGAACACCGGUGGCGAAGGCGGCCUGCUGGACUGCGACUGACGUUGAGGCCCGAAAGCGUGGGGAGCAAACAGGAUUAGAUACCCCAGUAC